GCAGGAGAAUCACAAGUUCAAAGUCAGCCUCAACAAAAUCAAGGCACUAAGCAACUUGGACCUUGUCUCUAAAUAAAAUACAAAAAUGGGCUGGAAAUGUGGCUCUGAUGUUAAGUGCCUGUGGGCUCAAUCCCCGGUACCAAAAAAAAAAAAAAAAAAGACUAAGGGAGGAGAUUACAGUGUAGUGAACCAGCUUCAGGAAUUUAGGGAGACCCUAUCUCAAAAUUUAAAAAAAAUAAACAAAGGGCUGGGGAUGUGGCUCAAGCGGUAGCAUGCUCGCCUGGCAUGUGUGUGGCUCGGGUUCGAUCCUCAGCACCACAUACAAACAAAGAUGUUGUGUCUGCCGAAAACUAAAAAAACAAACAAACAAACAAACAAAAAAACCCCACAAAAACAAAACUAUGUUUGUACCCCAGCCAUCGGUUUCAGGGAUUACAUAUUCAAUUAUAAACUCUCUAGGAGUUAGGAGAUAAGAACCACUAAUUCUUUUGGGGUCACUACCAGCAAAACCCUUGGAAAUCUUUAGAAUGACACAGUAAGAUUUGGGUACUCUAAAAAAUCCAUCAGAUCAGUCUGUUGUAUGACAAUUUUGCAAGAGGUGCAUUGUUUAUAUAAGGGCUUUCAUGGACUAGUAGUGUAAACGGUGAGGUAGCUUUUGUUAGGUCACUGCUGACUCCCACAUUUCUCGUCCCAUAACUAAUUUUCAGUGAACUUAUUAGCAUUCGAAACAGUUGCUCACUCCCUUCUUCAGAAAAUACUUUUUCUUCACUUAGCUCAGGGAUACUCCUCUAUUAUUGUCUUCUGACCUCUAGCCAUUGUUUUUUAGUCCCUUUUGCAAGUUCCUCCUUUCCCUAAUAACCCUGUUUUAGGACUUUCCCUAUUACAGCUCAUUUUCUUGGUAAUCUCAUCUAGUGUUAUGUUUUUAGAUGCCAUCUACACACUGGCAUUUUCAUUUAUAUUACCAACUUGGAUCUCUUUAUUACCAAAUAUCCCACUUCUUAUUCGACUUCCCUACUUGGGUAUCUGUUAUAAGUGUCUCAUUUAAAAACAACAAAACCCCUUUUCAGUUUGAAAUAAUGUUAGGCUUACAGAACAGUUGCAAGGACAGUGCUGUGAGCUCCCAUAUUCCCUCUUCUAGCUUCCCCUGUAAAUGUCCCACCUAACAAUGAUAUAUCAUAAAAACUAGAAUUAAUAUUGGUGCAGUACCACUAAAUUUGGGACAAUAUUCAGGUUUCACUAGUUUCUCCACAAAUGUUCCAGGAUCUGAUCCAUAAUCUCACAUUGCAUUUAGUCCUCAGUCUGACACAGUCUCCAUGUCCUUUCAUAAUAUAUUGAAGAGUACUGGUCAGAUAUCUUAUAUAUCUUCAAUUUGGUUUUGUGUGAUAAUGUCUCGUGAUUAGAUUGAAGUCAUGGGUUUUGGGGGAAAAGGUGCAGAGGUGGUGAUGUGGCAUUCCAAUUUAAUGUUUUUAGAAUUGAAUAGUUGAUCUCUUGACCUCUAUAGUUUGUCCAUCUCUGCAAUUUUUUCUAGCUUAGUAAAUGGCAGUUCUGGUUGUCGUCUUGCUUAGUUAAUCUGUCUUGGCCCAACUCUAGACCUUCUGAUUCAGAAGCACUGGAAAGGAGCCAGCAGUACUGUGUUUAAAUAUGCCUUUCUGCAGAUCUUGGUGCAUGCUAAAGUUUGAGACGCAGUGAUUGAGACCAUGGUAGCUUACAGUCAUCUUGACUCUUUAUCUCGUACUCUUCAGUCAGUAAAUUCUGUCAGUUCCACAAAAUAUUACCAGAAUCUUCGGCUUGUUACCAUCUCCACUGCUGCCACCCUAUGUGAAUUUCCAGUCAGUCCUGACUUUACCUUGUCUCCCAGUCAUUACUUUUAUUCAUCUACUGUUUGAUAUUCCCCUUAGCAGCCACAGGGAUCAUAAUCCACACAUUCCUCUGCUCAAAGGAAUCCUGUCAUUCCUCUGCUCAAACCUUAUGGUGUCCUUCCUUGUCUCAGACUAAAAACCCGAAUCCUUACUUCAACAAGUAUGAUUUUCCCCAUCCCUUAUGUUCUACCACUUUUGAACUUGCUUAUCAAAGUCUCAUUUCCUAAUACUUCAGACAUACCAAGCAUGUUCCUUCCCAGGGUCUUUGUACUUUUACUGCUGUCUGAACACUAUUCUUUGCUUGAAUCUCUCAUGGCUCAUUAUGAUACUUUCAAGUUUCUUAUCAGAGAAACUUUCCUCCCACUCUGUGUAAAAUAAGUGUGUGCUUCCCAGUCUUCUUGGCACUCCUCAUCUUCCUUACCCUUUAUUUUUUCUCACCUUAUUUCAUUUUAUACAUUGUUUACUUGUUUGUCAUCUCUGAAUUCUUAAAUUAUACGCUCUAUCAAAUAGGAACAUUUAUUUUGUUUACUCCUUUCCCCGGAACAGGCACUCCACAUGUAUUAUAUAACUGAAUGAAUGCCAAGCACAUCUUGGCACACUUUGUGAUAUAAAAUUAAAAAAUUGUGUCCUUGGCUUCAUAAAAUUUACAACUCUGGAGAUGAAUGGUUUUACAGAUAUGUAAUACAAGUGUAAAUCAGUAUGUGAGCAAGGUCCCCCAGGACUAGAAGAGGUUGACUAAGAAGGCUGCCUGAGGGCUGGGGCUGUAGUCCAGUGGUGGAGUGCUUGCCUAGUAUGUGUGAGGCACUGGGUUUGAUUCUCAGCACCACAUAUAAAUACAAAAUAAAGGUCCAUUGACAACUAAAAAAUAUUAAAAAAAAAAAAAAAGGCUGCCUGAUACUUGUAUUAGGUUUUGAGUGAUACCCAGAAUGAGGAGUAUUGGAUGGCCAAGUCAUUACAGGCUGAGAGACAAAAGAAGUAGCAAAGUGCAAGGAAUAGUUGCACUUUUAUAGUUGCAGUUUUAUAGUGUUUUUUUUUUUUAAUAGUUGAGGAAUGAUGGAACAGGUUGGAGUAAAAAUUAUAAAGCCCAUGGGGAAGUAUCCUAGUAGCGAUAGCUGACACUUGAGUGCUUCUGUGCCUUGCGUUGUUCAGGAGGUACAGCAUAAAUAUUUAUUCCAGGAGAGCAUAUAAUCCUUACAGAGAUCUGUUAGGUAUUUAGACUGAAGAAAUCAAGGCACAGGAAGUAUAUGUAACUUCUCCAAAGUUGCAUUGCUAGUACGUGAUGAGACUGGACUUCAAACCCUGGACAGCUUAGUGUGAUGACUCAGUCUGAGAGCCCAGACCUAGCUUCCAUACUGCCUCCACAACAGUGUAAACAGUGGAACCUGGAGUGUAGAGAGUAAAAAGGAAUGUAAUAACAGUUCUGCUUUACAGAGAUAACUGUGGGGCCAGUGUGAGGUUGGAUAAUAAAAAGUUCUACAUCCAUGCUAUGUGUGUUCCAUUAAAAACUAAAAUAUCUAAGUUCCCAUUUUUUGUGAAAAAAACAAACCAUCUAUGUAGUUAUACAUACACACACACAAGAGAUAAUGGAUUUUUAGAUAAUGGGGGUAUGGGAAAUACUGCUUUACUUGGGACAUUUUGUUUUUAAAGUAGUAUGUACUAAGGUGUAGAGGGACACAUGACAUACUGGAAUUAUUCAGGUAAGUGUCCAUGGAAAGGAAGGAGAUGAAAAUACAGACUGUUUGCAUAUUCUUUUACAUUAUUCUUGAUAAGUGGAUGAUACUGAGGCAUUGCCAAGAGUCCAUAGAUCAUCAUCUCAAUCCAUAGACUGAAAAUGAAUUGUCUUGACUACAGAAAAAACUUUUCAGUGUACAAGUCAGUGGUUUUUAUAGUUUGCACAAGAGUGUUUAACCAUCAUCACUGUCUAAUUUCAGAACAUUUCAUCAUCCCCCUAAAGAAACUCCUGUCUUAUUAGCAGUACUCCCCAUAUUUACUUACUAAUUAUCCACUCCCCAUAAUUUACUCUCUACCUCUAGAGAUUUGCCUAUUCUGGAAAUUCCCUGUAAAACAAAUCAUCAUAUGUGGCCCUUUUGUGUCUGACUUCUUUCACUUAAAAUGUUUUCAGGGCUAUCUCUUCUUGGUAGCAUGUUUCAGUGCAACAUCCCUUAAUAUCUUGCACCCUCCUCGUGCUCUGCUAUAAAUACAAAAGUCUGUGGAUGUUCAAAUCCCUUAGGUAAAUUGGUGUAAUAUUUUCAUACAACCUAUGCAUAUCCUCCCAUCAACUUGAAUCCUUUUAAAUUACAUCUAAUACUAUAUAAGUAGUUGUUAUGCUGUAUUCAAGGAAAAGGUCUC
rnacentral:lncRNA from 1 species